GGCUGUUUGAUGCAUGAAGGUAAAAGAAAGCCUGGUGGUGUCUCAGCAGGAGCACCUCAGCUUUCCACUGCAGGAGAGCUUCUGGGCUAUGGCAAGAGGCCACCACAGGCUCUAGGACACUGCUGUGCAUCAAGAUCCUCCACCAUCAAUCACAUCUACUGCGCACCAGAAUGGCUGUGGCGUUACCAAGGCCUCUCCAUGGCGGGGAGGAAAACCACACCAAAUGGAAGGAGAGUCAUCUGCAGAUCUUUAAGUUAAAAAUAGGCAGGAUUUGGUCUGCAGAAGACAGUUUGUUCUGUUGUGCUGCUGGCAUCAUGUGAGCAAUGCCAAACACUUCUGCAUUUGAAGACUAAAACCAAGGCACUGAAAACAGGAACUUUCUGGAUACUCUGCAUGCCUGAGAAUUACUGGUUUCAGCGAGCUGCCUGAUACCAUCUCAUCCAUAUGGUUGUGCUUGGGUGGGGGAACAAACAUCUCAUUAGCUCUGGAGGGUCAUUAAAAGCCGGAGAACAGAUCAUAGGGAAUAAUAAGGAUGCACGUCAUCGUGCGAAGACAGAUGAUAAAAGCCUGUGACACCGAGUGCUUCAAUGAGAGGGGACCCAACUGAGGAGUGUGAAGGAGCUGAGCACUUCUAAGGCUAAUGUCAGUGGGAGCUGUUUGUAGUCUCCUCAUGAGAACAAAUCAGACCGACAGCAUCGAAAUGUGACUAAAAGCAGAGGAUGAUACAGGGAAUUUUGGCCUACAUAACUUCGCAAUGAGUUCACCGAGCAUUCCUGGCUCCCAGGCCUGGACUGAGCCUCCUAAACUGUGCAACACUUCUUUGCAAUCAAAUUAUAGCUUAUACACACACAGAGAAACACAGACACAUCUGCAGGCACUGCGGAGCUGGGGUGAUGCUGCUCAGCUGUUGCACCCGUCUCGGCUACAACAGCGAUGCUCAUGGUUGCAGAGUACCCUGGCACCAGCGAGCAAGGAAAUGCAGAUUGCUCCUAACUUGGGAACUAGGACUCCAGAAGCGAUCCGGUGUGUGACUGGCUGGGAAUUACCUGACACAACAGCCAGUGUGUGAUGUUCCAAACCCCACUCUGCAUCCUCAAACGUUAAAUAUUGGUUAUUUCAGCAUUUCCACCAGUCCUCCAUGAAGCUUCUCCUGUGGAUAUCCCAUAAAGUGCCAUCAGCUGAGAGAUGUUCCCUUCAGCUGGGAGCUAAGAGUAGGAAAUCCUUCAUGUCUCCACUCGGAGCUGCAGUUCAGUCUGCUCCAGGGAGCAGCUGGGGCUUGUCAUCCCCCUCUCUUUGCAUGUUAAUGUAAUCUUAAGACCUUUCAAUCUCCAGGCUCACUGUAUUCACAGUACAUUCACACCAGCACUCAGCACCUUAGAGACCAUCAAAGACGUGUGACAGGGAUCAUGAAAAGCAAGGAAAGUUGCCACUGAAGGUAAAGCAUGAGUAGAGAAAGUGUUGUAUCCCUGCAUUUAAAAGGUGUUAGGCUUCCCACGUGCUUCAGUCUUGUUGAUGAAGGCUGAAAAAUAAGGAUUUGACUGUUAUGAUGAACUCUAAAUGCUUAUGGGUACACGGCUCUCCAGUUUCACCCUUCAGGAAAAUGCAUAUGUGGAAGGAAACGUGUAAAGAACAAAGAUGGGUUUUAAUUUCAACCAUUCUGAUAAAGCAGGAAAAGAUCUCCCAAUUCUCAUGCUUCAUUUCUACUGUUUACCAUUAUCCUCUGCACUGAAGCUCUAGGAAUAUGCACGAUGGGGAGCUGUGCCUCCAAAGGAGCAAAAAGCAGUGGUACAAUACAGAAUGGGCAUUCUUGGGUUUGAUUUUGCAGAAGUGAUUUGCUAUUUCACACUCUGUAGGACAUCAUUUCAGGAAAUGAAAACUGGAGCUGCAAAACGCUGGUGAGGCAGGAGGUGAAUGUUCUUACCUGGGUGUCUGGGAUGAUCAGCCUCGUGCCAUCUGCAAAGGUGGAAUUUACCUGCAAAAGGCACACUUGCACCAAAGUGCUACCCCUUCCCCUCCCCGAUGUCACACACUUUUACUGAACUAUCCCCCAAAUGUUCUACCCAGGAAGUUAAUCACCACAAUAAGCAUAAAUGGUAAAAGGGUCUGAAGAGAUUCUUUCCCCUGGGGGGAUCCCAGAACAUUUUGUUUUCCUGUCCAGCAGAGAAUGAAUCUGCCUUCCUUGUGGUGUGCUAACCACACACUUAGCCAGUAGCUGUUGCCAAUGAUGUGCAUGAAUCUCUGAUAAGGACUUUUUCCCCCCUUCCAAGCUAAGAAAUUAAAAACAAUAGCAUUAGAGGAGAGGAAGGAAACUGCCAGGCUGGAAUAGAACUCACGGGUACAAGAAACAGAGAGAACACAUCAAACUGCAAGUAAAAACCUAUUUCAGUGGAUGAUGAUUAUCUCUCUUUCCCACUGGGAGAGGGGAGGAAGCUGAGUUCUACCCUGAAGAAUCUGGGGUGUGCACAUGGUGGUGAAAGGCGUGAGAUUAAGAGACAUCCUUGGGAGUGUCAGAGUGAACCAGAACAAUGGAGGGAACAUAGCAGGAGGAGGAGAUGUUCUUUGUAAUUUAGCUGAUCUCAAAUUCACGGGUGUUUGAAGCAGAAACAUUUAAUCUCCUGAGGCUGCAGCUCAUCUGUAUAAAUAGCCAGACACCUUCCAGUAUUGUAUCUAAAACUACAGAUAAACUCUUACAACAAAUGAGAACCUAAGCAAUAAGCAAUGAUGCUUUAUUUGGGCAGUGAUAGAGUCCAGACAAAAGGGAAGCAAGUUUUCCCCUCUGCACAGGCAACAGGCAUCCUGCUUGGCCACAUCCUUUAAUCCCAGCCCUGAAAUUACUCUCUUGUGAAAGCUUCUUAAUAGUGUUUAACUACACAGGCUCUACCACUGGAGGACAGCUGUCACAUCAGUGAGCAGUUAGGAGCAUGACACUCCUAACACACAUUGUUCUCCAGGUAUUUGGGAAAAUAAACCAGGCAGCUAAAAUAGCCCCUGCAAUAACUGCAGCCAUUAGAGCAUCACCUACCCAAAAUCAGGUAUUUUUUGGAGCGAGGGAAGUCUUGUUUCACAGGUCACUUGAGCCAAGCAAUAAAACUGGAACAGCAGCUUUGGUUCCUGCUGAGUACCUGUGUUUACUGCUCAGUGCGUGCCUGCUGGCUGAUGCACCAUAAAUAAGACAGCUGUGUGCGAAAGAAAAAGGGAUUCUUAGGAUACCACUUUUAUCCCUACACUGAAUGCCCACUUCCGUGUUACUUUGGUUGUGGGAAUGCUGAACAACUUGCCUAGGUGGCAGCAUGAGUUACCUUCUGAACACCAAGGCGAGGAUUUGAGUUACUGCAGAUCCAUGAGGACUGUCAUAGCACAGAUUUCAGUUUGCUUCUUAUUCUAGUCUCCCAUUAAGGUUGUUUUCCAGUCAUGUGCACUUGGAGAGUACUGACUGAUCUUUUCCAUGAGUUUUAACUAUAAAAUGAGCUGAUAAAUUACUUGUUUUGCUAUUACAUCUCUUCUAGAAAAAACUAAACCAAACAUGAAGCAAAAAUAAGAGAAUCUCUUAACACAGGAUUCAUGCUCCGGUUCCUUUCUACUUGCUUCUCCCCUGUUACGCAGGAGAACUUUUUCUGUCCGGUUUUUCAUGUUGGGCUCCUGGCAGGGAAUCGCAGAAGAUUCUCACACUACUGGAAAUAAUAUUUUAUGUACUGAAGUUGAAAAAGGAGAACGUGUUCUGCCAAAGAACGAGUACAAACCCCUGACCUCUGCAGCAACAACAGACAAGAUGCUCAGAAAUGCUCAUUUUACCACGGAAGUUCUAAGUAAUAAAUCAGUCUUGAUAGACUUGA